GUGGCGCCGGCUCUGGCGCGGAGAGGCGCAGGCCCAGGCUCCACUCCCCAGCUGUGAAAGGGUUUUCUGCCUCCUGCUAAGCCAAUUUAUACAUUCCAAGAAAAUCUUCCAUUUCAUCCAGGUGAAACAGAACCUACUGGAAUGAAGCUGGCCUCCCAUGGAAUGAAGCUGGCCUCCCGUCUCCUUGAUUUGAAGCAGCUUCUCCACCUUCAACAUUGCUUUAUGGCAUGUGUGGUCGUUUUUCACUCCAUUGUUGUUGUUUACCCAGUUUAUGGGGGUUGUAAUGUUUAUCACACUCCUUGGAUGAUUUCCGAAGAUCACCCCAUCCUGAGAUCUGCUGCCUUACACAGUGGAGGCUGUUUUCUGAGUGUCGGAUAACUCUGUUAUUAAAUAAGUGCAUAUUGAGAAUACUCACUCCAGAUGCUUAGAGGCAUGUUGAGAAGGACAAAGAUAGUGCCUCCUGUCAGGUCACUUACAUCAGAACUUGCAGGAAACCUGCUUUAUACAGCAGUUGACAGGUGUGGAAAUUGAAGCUCAUGGAAAUGAAAGUUAAUACGCUAAAUUUUCAAGGAGUUAAUGAAAACUGACAUUUCUGCUAAAAACAGCAUGUUCUCCCUGUGGGAUUUUAAAGGAAGGUCAAUGGUAACUGUACAAAGAAGAAAUGGACACAGUCUCAUUGUUAGCAGUCUGAAAAUAGUUGCUAGCACCUCCAUGCCCACGCCAAUGUCUCCAGCCUCUUUCAGGCACCUUGCUGUGUCUUGGAACCACUGGGAGCCCUCACAGGAGGCCCUUCGUUCCUGUAUGCAUGUGGUGCCACAAGCUGCUUUGGGCCCGGAGGAAUCCUACACAUCUCAGAACACUUCCUCACCUGACCCUGUCACCCAUCUCUCCCCUUCUCAUGUGCUCAGCCCCUUCUUUGACUCUUGAAUUUUGAGUUUUUACAGAUGUUUGGGAGCUCUUACCCUGACAUGAAUUUACAAUUGUAAUGGAGACUCAGACAACGUUGUAGAUCACAGAGUGAACUAUGCUUUUUAGUGUUAAAUGCAAUAGCUUAAGAUAGAAUGUUUUACUUGUUACAUAAAUGCUGGUUUUCUUUCAGAUUUAAGGAUAUAUACUUUUUUUUUUUAAGAGAUAGGGUCUUCUAUGUUGCCCAGGCUGGCUUUGAACUCCUGGGAUCAAGUGAUCCUCCUGCCUCAGCCUUCAAAGUAGUUGGGACUACAGGCCCACGCCACCGUGCAUGGCUGGACACGUAAAUUUGAAGUGAAUGGUUAAACAUCCAGCUAGCUGAAAGCAUGACAGACCCUAACAGAAAAGCUACAGUGUGUUUUUGCAGCUAUGAAGUGAAUGGUUUCCUGGGGAAAAUUGUGACUUUGUAUAACUAUUUUUGAAACCAGAAUAAAUUAUAUUUCACUU
rnacentral:lncRNA from 1 species